rnacentral:rRNA from 1 species
GACGAACGCUGGCGGUGUGCUUCACACAUGCAAGUCGAACGGGGUAGCAAUACCCAGUGGCGGACGGGUGAGUAACACGUGGGAAUCUGCCUUAGGGUGGGGGAUAACUGACCGAAAGGUUAGCUAAUACCCCAUAUGUAGGAAUAUGAAAGUAGCAAUACGCCAUAAGAUGAGCCCGCGUCCGAUUAGCUAGUUGGUAAGGUAAAGGCUUACCAAGGCAGUGAUCGGUAGCUGGUCUGAGAGGAUGAUCAGCCACAAUGGAACUGAGACACGGUCC